rnacentral:lncRNA from 1 species
GAGAGAUCACAUGUCCCAGCUGAUGCGCAGAUUCUUCCCCACUGAAAUGGACGUUUCUGCCAAAGUCAAUGAGUAAAACUGACAGUGCGGAUGACUAACCUCCAGCCCAGAGCCUUUGGCAGCUCACACCUUUGUGCAAAGCAUGAUCCAGUUGUUCCCUUUGGUUCUUUAUCAGCAUCUAUUUCUCUGAUGACCUUGGGGAACAGUUAUUAUUAGCUAUAGGUGCACUCCUUUAUGUCCUAGAACAACACUAAAAUAUCGUUUUAAGUUGACUCUUCUCAAACAAUGACCAUCCUGUAUAAAAUAUGAAUGUCUGACCAAGAAAAUAUAUGUGUUUCUUGUAUAAUACAUACAUGUUUUGGAGACAC